GCCGCAGAACCAAAAGGGAAGACAGCCGAGAGAGUAGGAGGAUCCCAUCCACUGUCCCGCGGUCCAGGAUCCUAGGACUGAUGUGAGCAAUGUGACCUUCCAGGACAGAGUCCCUGUCUUUGGGUUGUGACCUGCAGUGUUUGGAUGCUCCAAGCAAGGAGACAGAUCCUACCCAGAUGUGAAUGAAACCGAACUGCUCAGGCUGAAGUCCUUCUCCCAGCUGAACCCUGAAAUUACUUGGGGGUGGUAAUGUCUGUGCAGAGGAAUCCAGCUCCCAGAGGCCCCGCAUGGCUAAGAGUUACCAUUCAUGAUUUGGACAGACUCCUGCAGGCCAUGUCUCUGUUCUUCCCGCUCCCAUCCUUGGGAGGCGCUGCUGGGGCACUACAGCUGGAUGGAGCCGGUUCUUCCUGUCCCCGUCCAGCAGUGACAGUGACAGACAAGACCACAGAGGUUCCAGCUUCCCUGGGUAACCCAUCGCUGGCCUUGGGGGCACCUCCCCCUCCUGUCCCUUGCCGUUCCUCAGCUGUGGUGUCAAUUCUGGAAUGCCUGGCUCACUUGUCCUUGGCUCCUUUAUGCCCUGAGAUACCAGUUCUCCGAAGGUCACGUCUCUGCAUUAAACACUGGACAAUGUCUUUUCUCCAGACCCAUGCAGGCUUACACCGCAGAGGAGGACCUUGAGUGUCUUUCUCUGCUGCUCUCUGCCUCAUUCCCUUGGGAUAAGGUCUCUCACUGGGUCUAGAGCUAGGCUGGCAGCCGACCAGUCCUCCUCUCUACCCCACACAGUAAGGAAGUUACAGACAUCAGUGGCCAGAUUUCUUAGUACAUGCUUGGGGGCUAGAACCCAGGUCCUCAUGUUUGUGCGGUGGCGGUGAUAGGCCUCUCCCCCGGGCCAGCUCCCCAGCUCCUCUCCUGCCUUUUGACAAUGAACCUGUCAGGGUCACAGAAACUCUCAGCUGAUAGCCACUUCAGUUUUCCUACGCGUCUCAGGUCAGCCUGACCCCUGGCUCGAGGGCUCUGCCAGGUCAGUCCUUCCUUUCCUACGCCUGAGAACAGGUGUGUGUGCGGGG